GAACUUUUACUUUCUAAACCUCUCUGCAUUCCAGAUCAAGAAAUGUAUUAACUACACCAAAAUAGCAGAGAGUAAACUAUAAAAAGUAAUCAACAAGUGUCACUGGAGCGGUAAGCUUGUGAUAAAUUGGCCAUUUCAUUGCAUACUGAUACAGUAAUUCCAGACCUGCCGCUUAGAUGAUUGCAACUAAAGAUACAUCUUUGUGCUGCCUGAAACUUAAGAGGUUUCUUAUGCCACACAAUUCACAAACUACGAUUAUGGAAGUAAGAGUAUUGUGUUCAGUUAAUGUUUUAGAACUCAAUAGCAAACUGUGUAAGAUCUCAAUCUAUAAUGCAUAUGAUGAAACAGAUGUUUAAGGAACAAACUUGUGCAGCAUACGCUCGAGGUUAGCAGAAAAUGAGAAGUAUUGUAGGUAGUAGGUACGCUACAACAGUAACCUUAAAGCACAAAAACAAAACAGUUUCUGAUACUUUAACCCUGAUCAAAUAUGGUUGUGUUAUCUGAAACAUAAAUAAAUAUA
rnacentral:lncRNA from 1 species